AACGAACGCUGGCGGCAUGCCUAACACAUGCAAGUCGAACGAGACCUUCGGGUCUAGUGGCGCACGGGUGCGUAACGCGUGGGAACUUGCCCUUAGGUUCGGAAUAACUCCCCGAAAGGGGUGCUAAUACCGGUUAAUGUCUUCGGAGCAAAGAUUUAUCGCCUUUGGAUGGGCCCGCGUUGGAUUAGCUAGUUGGCAGGGUAAAAGCCUACCAAGGCGACGAUCCAUAGCUGGUCUGAGAGGAUGAUCAGCCACACUGGGACUGAGACACGGCCCAGACUGCUACGGGAGGCAGCGGUAGGGAAUAUUAGACAAUGGGCGAAAGCCUGAUCCAGCAAUGCCGCGUGAGUGAUGAAGGCCUUAGGGUUGUAAAGCUCUUUGACCCGGGAUGAGAAUGACAGUACCGGGAGAAUAAGCUCCGGCUAACUCCGUG
rnacentral:rRNA from 1 species